rnacentral:rRNA from 1 species
GCCUCUUGACAAAAUAUAAGAGGUCCAGCCUGCCCAGUGACUCUGUUCAACGGCCGCGGUAUCCUAACCGUGCGAAGGUAGCGUAAUCACUUGUUCUUUAAAUGAGGACUAGUAUGAAUGGCACCACGAAGGUUACACUGUCUCCUUUUUCUAAUCAGUGAAACUAAUCCCCCCGUGAAGAAGCGGGGAUAAAGUUAUAAGACGAGAAGACCCUAUGGAGCUUUAAACUAAAUAACACUCGCUUUUGCACAUCCCUGCUUCAGAGCAAUUAACACUUAUUUUAGCCCCCUGAUUAUUAGUUUUAGGUUGGGGUGACCGCGGAGUAAAAAACAACCUCCACAUUGAAUGGGGAAAUACCCCCUGAGCUAUGAGCUACAACUCUAAGCACCAUUAAAUUGACAUUUAUUGACCCAAUAUAUUGACCAACGAACCAAGUUACCCUAGGGAUAACAGCGCAAUCCGCUUUAAGAGCUCCUAUCGACAAGCGGGUUUACGACCUCGAUGUUGGAUCAGGGUAUCCCAGUGGUGCAGCCGCUACUAAAGGUUCGUUUGUUCAACGAUUAAAACCCUACGUG